UACGUAGGGUGCAAGCGUUAAUCGGAAUUACUGGGCGUAAAGCGUGCGCAGGCGGUGAUGUAAGGCAGAUGUGAAAUCCCCGGGCUCAACCUGGGAACUGCAUUUGUGACUGCAUCGCUGGAGUGCGGCAGAGGGGGAUGGAAUUCCGCGUGUAGCAGUGAAAUGCGUAGAUAUGCGGAGGAACACCGAUGGCGAAGGCAAUCCCCUGGGCCUGCACUGACGCUCAUGCACGAAAGCGUGGGGAGCAAACAGG
rnacentral:rRNA from 1 species